rfam:Streptomyces sp. Ncost-T10-10d genome assembly, contig: Ga0115254_1200
CUUGAGGGAUCCGAGCCACAGGGGCCGGUCGGCCGGGCGGUCGCGCCCGUAGGCGGCGAGGAGCGCACGGGCCUC